rnacentral:tRNA from 1 species
GGUGGGUUGCCCGAGUGGCUUAAGGGGGCAGUUCGCUAAACUGCUGGCGCGUAAGCGUCACACAGGUUCGAAUCCUGUACCCACCGCCA